GCAUAAACGAGCAAAAGGCAAGGUUUCUGAUUCACAAUGCUUAAUUGCUCAGAUAAUUGUUGUUGCUGGAUUAAUUUCUAUAUUUUAAAAUACGAACUGGUUGUCUUUCACAUAGUCCAGCUAAGAAAGCCUAUGUUACUGAUUAAGAACUAAGAACACUAUUCCAUUUAAUUGUAGCGAAAGAGAGAAAAUCCUAAUGAACCAGGUUCACCAACUUUUACUAUGUACUUAUGUACUAUCCCUUAUUUACUAUCCCUUAUUUACUCCGUCUUAUUUACUAUGUGAUGUCCCUCAUUAGGUUCAUAGUAUCUUCUGUAGCAGCAAUGCCCUCUAGAUCCCUUAUCACAACAAGGAAGGUAUCAACUUGGCCUCCUUUCUCUCUGAGAAUAAAGCAAACAGUUAUGCUUCACUUUACUCCGCUAAUUUGAUGCGUGACUCCUCGCUCAACGACCGAGUGGAGCUCCAAAUUCUGGGUGACGUUGGUGCCAAGAUCUGAGUCAUGAACUUCGAUACCCCUGAUGUUCAGCUGAAAUUUGAUGGGUUUAGAAGGAUCGAAAUAAUGAAGUUUUGAAUGCAAGUGAACCUUGGAGCAAGAAAAAGUGAAUCGUGAUGCAAGCUUCAGGGAUAGGAACAAUUUUGGAGGUUUUGGGUGUUUGAUUCUGGAUAAUCUAGCUAAUUGGUUACUCGGUUGCUCAGACCCCAUUCCUGAAAAUAACAUCCUUAGAUUCCAUGAAAGGAUACUUAGGAUAUAUGAUGACUUUGUCUGGCCUUUGAAUCUUUCUUCCUUAGCAAGUGAGAACAAAUUUUUGGCCGUAAAGCUAAAGCAGGCGGCAAAUGGUAUUUUUCCAGAAUCUAAUGCUUCGUCGGUGAAUGACUGAGGUAAUCCAAGAAACGUUGAGAAGUGCAAGCAUACUGUCAUUCACAUUCAGAGAAGUAGUGGAAGAUGUGGAGCUUCAAGAUUACUACAUUUCCAAAAACUAGAAGGUCCUUCCACUCUUCAAAGCAUUCACCAUUCUGCUGAUUUCUUCCCUCAACCACACAAAUUCGACCCCUCACGCUUCGAGAUGGCAAAAUUUUGGAGGAAGAUAUUUUAAAUUUGGGGAGCCAGAUAGAAGAUACACAGGAAGAAACAAAAUCAUAAUAUUCAUAAUAUUAUGUUAUUUUUCUUACUUUCAAGGUAUUAGCCAAGUUAGUUACCUUGUUUUAUGUAUGAGAUAUAUCUGACACUGUUAGAAAUUGGAGCCAAUCUAAGUGAAAACAUUUAGAAUUAAAAAAUUAUGUUAUAUUUUAUAUUUUAUUUGUAUUGAAGUUAUUACUUUUGAUUUUUAAUACUAAAAAAUUUUAUAUUA